rnacentral:snoRNA from 1 species
CCCCUCUCAGGGUUGCACCUGGAGAGUUUCCAGUACUCUACCUGUCUCGGCUACGGGAGGGAGAGUCAAGCAGAGGCCUACCCAUUCCAUUCCUAGCUUGGGCAGUGGCUUAGCGAGUGGAAGACAAUCUGCUACAAGU